AGGGCGUGACUAAUACAUGCAAGUCGAGCGGUAAGGCCUCUUCGGAGGUACACGAGCGGCGGACGGCUGAGUAACACGUAGGAACGUACCCCAAACUGAGGGAUAAGCACCAGAAAUGGUGUCUAAUACCGCAUGUGCUCUAAGGAGUAAAGCUUCGGCGGUUUGGGAACGGCCUGCGUCUGAUUAGCUAGAUGGUGAGGUAAUGGCUCACCAUGGCGACGAUCAGUAGCUGGUCUGAGAGGAUGAUCAGCCAGACUGGGACUGAGACACGGCCCAGACUCCUACGGGAGGCAGCAGUAGGGAAUUUUCCACAAUGGGCGAAAGCCUGAUGGAGCAACGCCGCGUGCAGGAUGAAUGCCUUCGGGUUGUAAACUGCUUUUAUAUGUGACGAAUAUGACGGUAGCAUAUGAAUAAGGAUCGGCUAACUCCGUGCCAGCAGCCGCGGUCAUACGGAGGAUCCAAGCGUUAUCCGGAAUUACUGGGCGUAAAGAGUUGCGUAGGCGGCAUAGUAAGCAGGUAGUGAAAGCGUGUGGCUCAACCAUACUCACAUUAUCUGAACUGCUAAGCUAGAGGACGAGAGAGGUCACUGGAAUUCCUAGUGUAGGAGUGAAAUCCGUAGAUAUUAGGAGGAACACCAAUGGCGUAGGCAGGUGACUGGCUCGUUCCUGACGCUCAGGCACGAAAGCGUGGGGAGCAAACGGGAUUAGAUACCCCGGUAGUCCACGCCGUAAACGAUGGAUGCUAGCUGUUAGAGGUAUCGACCCCUCUAGUAGCGAAGCUAACGCGUUAAGCAUCCCGCCUGUGGAGUACGGGUCGCAAGACUAAAACAUAAAGGAAUUUGACGGGGACCCGCACAAGCGGUGGAGCGUGUUGU
rnacentral:rRNA from 1 species